CAUUACAGCUGGAGUCUGAGACCGACGCGUGAAUGCGAAUCUCUCAGCCUCGAAUCCUGACAUGGUUUUAGUACUAGAUCCUUUGGUCAGAGAGAAAGUCUCUUGCCCUCUGACCCAACGGAUCCAAUGCGAUCAUGGCUCACCCUCCUCAGAAGUCAUUCCUUCAUACCGAGAGCGUUCAGACUCCGGAGAAUCGAAUGACAGCAGCUCCCAUCAGAGAAAGAGGCUGAACUCCAGCGCCUCAGACCGUAGCCACGAAUCCCUGUCUACUGCUGAGCCUCAUCUGAACCUCCUCCGAGGGACCAAAGCUCAUGGUCAGGACCAGCUGGAGAGGAAGUCAGUGCAGCUAUGAAUUCAGAGGCUCCGCAGAUGGAUCGAGACCUGAAGAAACUUGACAACGGCGUGGAGACGACUCACUUUCAGAGCACAGCAGGUUCACAAGCAUGCACACUGAAUGAGAACAGUACAAGAGCUGAAGACAUCUCGGGACAGAAGAUCACAUCAGGUAGAGAUGCUCUGUUGACUUCUCUUACUAAUGGCAAGGAUACAGAUUUUAAAAACAAAGCCUCAUUCUCCGGGCCCGUCAUUCGUGCAAACUCUGUUCGUGACAGGAUGCGCAAGUUCACCGAACCUGUUACGAGCGCACCUAAAAUCAGCCACAGUUCUUCUCAUUCUACAAACACAGUGUCUGCUGAGAGGUCCUGGGACACCUCGUCCUGUUCUUCCUCCAUCCCAAAGAAAGAGAGGAAUGUCACUGAGAACAUGUUGGCCCAGCCUGGGCUUCUCUCCAGCCAAUCACACACCACAGUGGGCGGCUCACACUGCUGCACUGAAAAUGUCAGGCGUGCGUGCAGCGGUUCAGAAGAAGUGCAGACUCCUGAGGGAGAAGCAUCUUCAGGGACCCACGACACCCGGGGUGAACCUGAGUCCAACAUGAAGACCUUCCUCAGCAUUGAGAUCAAAGACGGACGAAACCCAACUUCACAUUCUUUGUUGCCAUCAUCCUCUACAGCCGUAAACAUGAGCCCUCGAAUCAUCACAUCUGCUGCUCCACAGAGAACAGGU
rnacentral:lncRNA from 1 species